AAGGCAGUACAGCUUAUCGCACAAAAUCUGAUUUUGUGAGGAAAGUCCGGGCAACACAGGGCGCCGUACUUCCUAACGGGAAGGUGCUGGCAGGCUUCGGCUUGUCAGUAACAGCCAGUGCCACAGAAAAUAUACCGCCCUGACAAGCCGCAAGGCUUCGUUAUGGGUAAGGGUGAAAAGGUGAGGUAAGAGCUCACCGGUCAUGGUGUGAAUCAUGAUGCGAGGUAAACCUUACGGGUUGAAAGACCAAAUAGGUUCCGGGUUAAGCUGCCCGCUUAUUUCCUUCGGGAAGCCGGAAUGGGUAGGUCGAUAGAGCCUGAUGGUGACGUCAGGCCCAGAUAAAUGAUAAGCACUCCGCAAGGAGGACAGAACCCGGCUUAUCGUGCUGCCUUUGUU
rnacentral:RNase_P_RNA from 1 species